GAUGAACGCUGGCGGCGUGCCUAAUACAUGCAAGUCGAACGCAGUGGGGACGGGUGAGUAACACGUGGGUAACCUCCCAUCAGAAGGGAUGAAACUUGGAAACAGGUGCUAAACCGCUACUUAUAGAUGGAGCCGCGCUGCAUUAGCUAGGUGGUGAGGUAACGGCUCACCAAGGCCACGAUGCAUCGCCGACCUGAGAGAGUGAUCGGCCAAAUUGGGACUGAGACACGGCCCAGACUCCUAAGGGAGGCAGCAGUAGGGAAUCUUCGGCAAGGGACGAAAUUCUGACCGAGCAACGCCGCGGGAGUGAAGAAGGCUUUCGGAUCGGAAAACUCUGUUGUUAGAGAAGCGGUAACUAACCAGAAAGCCACGGCGAACUACGUGCCAGCAGCCGCGGUAAUUC
rnacentral:rRNA from 1 species